GGACUCAAGUCACCAAUUCAAAGAAAUAGACUGGUGGAAUGGAUCAAGAAACAACAUCCAAUCAUAUCAUGUACAUCUAAUCCAAACGGAAACUCAUAGACUGUAAGUCAAAGGAUGGAAAACAAUACUUCAUGCAACGGGAACUACCCACCAAAAAAAAGCAAGGGUAACUACUCUGUUUGCAGACAAUGUGAACUUCAAAUCAAGAAUGAUCAAAAGAAAAAGAAAAUCACUACGUACUAGUUAGGAGAAAACUUCAAGUGGAAGAGAUAACAAUCUUAAACAUCUAUGCAACAAAUUCGGGAGCACCAGCUAUAUAAACAAAUAUUAACAGAAAUGAAAAAUCAAAUAAGCAAUAACACAAUUAUAAUGGGAGACCUUAACACCCCCUGACAAUAAGAGACAGAUCAACUAGACAGAAAAUCAACAAAGAAAUAACAGAACCGAAUCACAUCUGUGAACAAAUGCACUUAGUGGACGAGCACAGAGUAUUCCAUCCUGAAGAUCAAUGAAAUAGAUUGUAAGAUAGAACUACAACUACACAAAACUCAGCCACCUUAUCUUUGACAAAGGGGCCAAACACAUUCACCAGAAGAAAGAUAAUGUCUUUAAUAAGUGGUGCUAGAAAAACUGGCUCUCCAUAUGCCACAAACUAAAACUAUACCCAUGCCUAGCACCAUGCAUAAAACUAAAGUCAAAAUGGAUCAAAGAUCUAAAUAUUAAAACAGAAACACUAAACAUGCUGGAUGACAAAGUAGUUGGAAAUUUUGAAGACACAGGGACAGGCAAGAGAAUUCAUGAACAAAAAUCAAACCACAUGGGAAACACUUCCCAGAAUCAAUAACUGGAAUUACGUCUUAUUAAAAGUGUUUGCAUGUCAAAAUAAAUCUCCAACAGAGUAAAAGGAAACGUAGAAUUUUGAAAAAAUCUUAGUAAACUGUCUCGCAAAGGACUUCUACAACAUAUAAAGUAUUUAAAAAAUUCUUUAUAUGUCUAGAACAUAUAAAGAAUUUUAAAAAAUCAGACCUCAUGAAGUCAAACCAACAUUUCAUAGAGGAUAGCAGCCCUGUGACACAGGCCCUGUGGAGGUGCAGGCAGAGAUGGUCACCCAGCACCCUGAGGUGCCCAAUGCCAGGGGCUGUGCACUUGAGGGCAAUGAGGGUGAGUUCAUGUUAGGCACCUUCUGUCCCAAUGGAAAGAAGAAUAAUGGCCAGGUACAGUGAGGUCCACGGUGAGCACAGAAAUAAAAUGUAGGAAACAGCAGCACACAGCCUGGGAAGGCAGAAAUGUCGCACUGUUUCCCUGCACACACGUGGCCUGGUGGGUCGCUGCUGAAGGGAGGCCUGGCUGACCAAUGGCACACGCUGGAAGGCAGCAACAUACAUGCAACAGGAUUGAGGCUCAGCAGGGUGAGAGAUGUGAAUACUAAUCCAAAGGGAGGAGGAAAAUCAGGGAAGAGCAAACAAAGGGUGGGUAAAACAGAGCUGGAAGACAGGCUGGAACCCAGCUGAGUGAACACAGGGCAGUGAUUUGCAUUCAUCACCAAUUACAAAGCACAGACUGUCAGGUGAGAUUAACCAUUGCACCUACAAAGAAGCUGCUUAUUAGCUUUAUUUUCCUUUUAUGUAGAAAUAGUUUCAGAUUUUAAGAAGGUCAUUGAGUUCCUAUACACUGAUCACCUGGCUUCUUCAGACAGGAGGAACGUAAGAGAUCCGAAGGACGAUGAGUGACAUUAGGAAGUGGACGUUCCUGCAGUACUGCUAAGUACAGUGGACAAUUCACCUGGGCUUCUCCCAUCUGUCUUUUACAGGACCUAUCUAGGACUCCACAUUGUGUGCAGUGACGGGGACACUGCUGUCUCCUCCCAUCUGUGGCGGUCCGCUGUCUACCAGGAACGCUGUCCUUGUUCCUCUGCACAGUCUAACAUACGUGCAUUCACCAGUGAAGUUGUCAUGGCUAAAACUCCUGGCACCAGCUUCUACCUAGACAUCAACUGUCAUCCCGUCGACCCCCCUAGACUCCAGUACAGUGCCCUCGGCCAGCAGGAAGUAGUUAAAGAGAGAAAUCUUCGCCCCUUUUCCUAAUAAUCAUAAGAUGGGAUAUGAAAGGGUUGCUGGCCCAGGCCGGAUACUGUAGCCAGUAAAGCCAGGGAGCUCUUAUCUCCCCCCACCUUUAGAAAUUACUUCUGGCGCCAAACUAAGACCAGUGGGCUACCUGUACAUCCCUAAUGCCCCUUAGGUUCCACCCCAGGCUGAGGCUACUUAUAUGCCUCACUCCACGUGUUCCACGGAGAGAUCGCUGGCCCCGGGGUGGAGAUGCCAUGCCGCAGGGGGUCAGGGGUGUCUCUCCCCGCAUUCCCAAAAUAAAGGUUACUUACAUUUUAUACUUCUUAUCUUUUCAGCCGCCGCCAGUCCUCCUCCUUUUCCUUCCACUCCACAGUUCUAUCAGUUACCAUACUGCCUCUUGCUAUUUUAAGAAUUGGCGGUUAUAAUAAAAUUGAACUAAACAGUAAAGAAUAAAACCAAAGCACUGGAGACAUUACAGGACUUUAAAAGAAAAUAAUAGUCAAUCAGAAUGGGUGUCAUAAUGAUUCUUAUUGUGUUCACAGUUAUGCCUGUACUUUCGAUAUUGGUACUAUCAAGCAAAGCAGAAUAGGGGAAAAUCAGUCAAAACAAGAUGGUGAGGGCAAUACAGGAUUUCAAAUCAAGUUAAUAGGAAAUCAAAGUAGGUUACUAUAAUGUAUCCUGCUAUUUUUUAUUUAUUUUCCCUUAAUUAAAAAAUAAAAUUAAAAAAGUAAAUAAUUAAAAAAAAGGGGGGGGGACUGAGAUAAAAGAGGGCAUAACAACAGAACAGCGCAGGUCAAAUCAUAACCAUUUAAGCAAACCAGUGUUUCACCACAAGAUAUCCUGACAUAAAAAUAGUUACCAUAGUGUCUCUUUCCUUGAAAUCUUUGAGUAUAACUUCUUAUACUGUAGCACCAAAGAUAUCACGACACUAUAAAUCCAUUCAAGAGAAUGACAUUAUUGCAGGGUAUUUAGAACCAAUUGACAGAAAAUGAACAAUGGUUUCUAUAUAAACUCCUUGUCUAUAAAAGUUUUUGCUUAUACUAUCAUAUAUAAUAAAAUCCAAUAAGAUACAACCUUUUAACACCAAUGGAGACUGAAGAAUACACAUUUGAUGGGACUUCAAAACAAGAUGAUACUAAAUCAGCACUAGCUAUUAUGAUGUCUUGUUUUCUCCAAAAUUGCUGUUCCUACCUUCCAAUCUUCUCUGCCUCAUUUCUGUUGAGCUCUUUUUCUGUCCUUUGUUGUCAGUUUGUCUUCUUCAUUUUGUUUUCUGCUCCAUUCAUUGUGGCCUCUCAGCCACUAUUUCUGGAAUCUUGGUAUUUUCUUUUUUUAGACUAUCCUGCAGUAUUCUCUGUAGAGUUGAAUUAAUGGUUGCAAAUUCCCCUAGUUCCUCUUUAUCCUGGAAGCACCUUGUUUUUCCAUCAAUUUCUAGGGACAGUUGUGCAGGAUACAUCAAUCUUGCCUGGAGGUUAUUAUCUUUCAAAGCUUGAAUUAUUUCCCCCCACGCUCUUCGUGAUUUGAUGGUUUGUGCCGAGAAGUCUGCUGUAAUUUUGAUGGGUGUUCCUUUGUAAGUGAUCUGUUUCUUGUCUCUGACGGCUUUUAAUAUUCUGUUCUUAUAUUGGAUUUCUGGAAUUUUGAUUAUUAUGUGCCUGGGUGUAGCUCUGUUUGGGUUGUAGAUUGCUGGGGUCCUGUAUGCCUCAUAUAUCUGAGUAUCUUUACCAUUUGCCAAAUUAGGGAAAUUCUCUUGGAUUAUUUCUGUGAAUAGCUUUUGUAGUCUAUUUGUUUGUGUCCCCACUUCUUCUCUUACGUUCUUAAUUCUUAAGUUAUAGAUCCUCUUAUCAUCUUCUAGUUUUUGUAUUGUUGCUGUUUGUUUGUUUGUUAUUUUUAAGAAGUUUUUCAUUACAUGCUCCCAUAUUACAAAUCUGCCCUCCAGUUCAGAUAAUCUGUCCUUAGUUUCUUUCAAGCUGUUAUGCCAGUUUUCAAUAGUUUUUAGUUUCCUUGUAAUCUCUUUGAACCUCCUUCAUGUAUUCUAUGUUUUCUCUAUUUUCUCCAUCAAACAAUUCUCCCCUUUUUUUCUGUUCUUCCAUUUCACCAUCUGUUUUUUCUUGGGCGGUACUUAGCAUUUCUCUAACUAUUCUGCUUAUGUCUAGCUUCGGGUCAUUCAUAACUUCAUUCCUGAACUCCUCUAUGAGGCUCUGGAGAUAGCACUUUAUAUCUAUUGGUCCCAUGUCUACUAUUGCGUGUUUCUCGGGAUUGGGGACUGAGGACCCUUUCUUGUUGCUCCCUCUUCCCAUAUUCUUUGUUCCUUAUAUUAAGCGUGUAUAGGAGGCCCAGCUUCCUUCCCUGUCGGCCAGUCUGUUUGAAUUGCCGGCUAGGUGUUCCUGCCCACUGCAGUGUACUAGGGAGACACAGACCUGGGCAGCCUCUUCUGGGCCCGCCCCUCCAGGUCAACCUACCCCCAAGGCUUCACUGCUAGGGUGCGCCUUCAGGUGCUGGGACCUGAGUUGGGCUAGCCUAUUGGGUCUCAGCCAGCGGCUUCUCACAGGCCAGGCACUCCCCACCAAUCCCGCUUGAGAGGGGGAUAUGUGACUGAAGUCACUGCAGCUUCUUGUUCCGGGAAGUCUGCCUGGUCCGAGUAUGUCCUCCGCUGAAGCCUGCUUCUCUAUGUAAGGGUCCAAUUCACUGGCUCACUCACCGCAGGUCGAUGCAGGGCACCGGCCAGUCCUGCUCCCAUCUCCUUUCAACGCUUCUCACUCUCCGAGGUUUUGCACCUCUCUCCCUGCUGUGCCGACCGGGAUGCAACAGCAGCUGCAGGUAAUUCAAAUUGCAGUUUCCAGUGGCGCGGGUCCAGCUUCCGCGCUGAGACCUUAUCUGUGCCUGCUGUCUUGCCAGGAUUGCAUUUCCAGAUGGUUUCUCUUAAUUUAGUUCAUUCCUGGGUCAGCAAAGAAUAUCCCCCCUUGCCUGGAUCUUCCCGUCCUGCACCAUUCCUAGAUUUCAAGUGCAGUUUCUCCGAGAGCCUCAGAGGCUGCUGCUAUCUAUCCGCCAUGUUCUUCUGGUAAAAAAGGUUGUAUAUUAUGGACAAACUUAUACCAACUGCCACUGACAGAAGCAUCCCAUCCAAACAACAGUGCAGGAUUCACUGCUGUACAUGGAGGAAAUGUUUCCAGCACAGUCACAAAAUAAACCCCAAUCAAUUUAAAAGAAUUUCAAUUAUGCAGAGAAUUUUGUCUCACUAUGAUGAAAUACGUUUAGAAAUUAACACUAGGGACAGCACUAUUUACCUAGAACCUGAAAGAGUAAACAGUUAAGAGGAAGCAUGGAGAUGGAGCUCAGGGACAAAGUGCCUGCCUGACAAGCACAAGGCCCUGAGUUCAAUUCCCAGGGCCAAAAAUACAACCUAAAACAAAAACGGUUCAGGGGAGAAUAUUAGCAGAUAUAUUUGAAAGCUCUGAUGCAGGGAACAAACUUUUUGAAAGACAAGAAGGAUCCAAGUCUCUGGACCUGAGCCUCAUUUGCAUGGAAGACACUGAAUUGGUUAGAACCUUCCCAGUAACUGCAGGCUUGAAUAGCUUCACUGCUGAAUUUUAACCAGCACUGAAGGUAGAAGUACUAUCAGUUUUACACAUUGUCAUAAGAAUUUGAAUAGAAAGAUUUCUCAACUUAUGAGGUCACUGUUGUGAUUAUUCAGAAUGGACACAAGUAUCACAGAGAUAAUCUAUACAUCAAUACCCUUGAAAAGAACAGACAACAAUGUUCUUAAAACUUAAACAAUGGAAAGAAAGGCUUGUGGUUCACCACACCUCUUAGAGCAUCACUGAAAAACACUAACUAAAGAGAUUUCCACAGUAGUGACAGUGAAUUAUCAUCUGAAUUAUUCAAGGUGAUAAAAGCUUAAAUUCAACAGAAUGAUCAGUACAUUUACAAAAUACACUACUACAAAAUUACCUGAGCUAAAAAAAAAAAAGACAUGAUACACAAUGUAGAUGAGUGACUUAGCAAGGAAUUUGAGUCCACAAAUGGUACCAAACAGAAAUCCAAGAGAAUUAAAUUUGUAUCCAAAGUGGGGGCAACAGAAAUGACCACAAGGACAGAGCCCUGGAGUUAGAAGACAGGGCUGGUGUCAGUGCCCAAAUACUCAGGGACACCUUACAAAAUUGGAACAUGGACAGUAGAUCCAACAGCUAUUAGAUGGUGCACAGACAACUAACUAGAAUAAGUGAAAAACCACAAGACAGCACACAUGGCAUAAAAAUCUGUGACAGAAACAAUAGCAGAAAACUUUCUGAAUAUGGGGAAGUAACUUGACAUACAGAUAAGAAAGACAGAUGAAACCCCAAGUAGCCACAAUCAGAAAAGGAUCUCCCCAUGACAUAUGACAGUCAAUACCUGGGAAGUCCAAGGUGAGAACAGAAUCUUAUAACCUCAUAAAGAAAAGCAAGGAAUCACUUAUAAAUGUAAAACCAUUAGAAAUACAGCACACUUUUCAACACAAACUGUUAAGACCAGGAGAGCUUGGAGUGAGGUAUUUCAACACAUAAAAGAAAGCAACUUCCAACCCAGGUGAUAUAUCCUACAGAACUCUCUUUCAAAACCGCUCUGCAGGACUUCAGGGCGACCACUUCCCUCGCUGGAGCCCAGCCAGUCCUGUCUGAAACACACUGUGGAUGGCCUGGCUGCAAGGCCUCUCUAGCUUCCCUGGCCUUGAAACUGUCAGAUUGUUUGACACUGUUAGUGUAGAAACAGGAGAAGUGACUGGGAGCCCCUGGCUUAGAGGGGCAGUGAUCUCAGUGCCCAGGGAUUUCCCUGAACUCUCAGAGGACGAGCAGGAGUUCUCCCAGGGCCUGGCACAUGUAUGACCGUCCUGAUGUUCACCUCAGAGACAGAAUACUGAACUCCAGUUGCAGGAGGUGUGUUGCCUCCCAGGAUUUGGCAACUGUAGAUAGAGAGCUUGUCUGCAUGGCAGGAUGUAGGUGAAACCUCCAGAGGAGUCUUCAAGGUUAGAUGAUGACACUGUGAACAGCAUCCCUGCAAACUUUCCUGGUCUUGACUAUUUCAGGAGCAUAACACUAACUUUGUCAUAAAGGUGCAGAAACAUAGGUUUACCAGACACACACUCAUUCUUUAGAAUAUUUCUAUUGAUGAGUUAUUAACUUUAUUUUUAUAAGUGUUGUUAUAUUACACAUUGGCUUACCAGGAAAAAAAACAAAAAAAUAUAAAGUAUUGAAUUUUUAAUAUUUAUUGAGUGUUUAUAAUAAAGCAUCAAAAUUUAAAACAUCAACAAUUUUUUGGCAUAAAGUCUACAAAAAAUAACAAAAAUAUUCCUAUACAAA